AGCGAACGCUGGCGGCAGGCUUAACACAUGCAAGUCGAGCGGGACCUUCGGGGUCAGCGGCGGAGGGGUGAGUAACGCGUGGGAAUGUGCCUUAUGGUCUGGAAUAAUCCUGGGAAACUAGGGCUAAUAUCGGAUACGCCCUUUUGGGGAAAGGUUUACUGCCGGAAGAUCGGCCCGCGUCUGAUUAGCUAGUUGGUGGGGUAACGGCCUACCAAGGCGACGAUCAGUAGCUGGUCUGAGAGAAUGAUCAGCCACACUGGGACUGAGACACAGCCCAGACUCCUACGGGAGGCAGCAGUGGGGAAUAUUGGACAAUGGGCGCAAGCCUGAUCCAGCCAUGCCGCGUGAGUGAUGAAGGCCUUAGGGUUGUAAAUCUCUUUUAUCCGGGACGAUAAUGACGGUACCGGAGGAAUAAGCCCCGGCUAACUUCGUG
rnacentral:rRNA from 1 species